GUAGUCUGCAACCCGACUACAUGAAGCUGGAAUCGCUAGUAAUCGCAGAUCAGAAUGCUGCGGUGAAUACGUUCCCGGGUCUUGUACACACCGCCCGUCACACCAUGGGAGUUGGAAAUGCCCGAAGUCGGUGACCUAACCGAAAGGGAGGAGCCGCCGAAGGCAGGUCUGAUAACUGGGGUGAAGUCGUAACAAGGUAUC
rnacentral:rRNA from 1 species